rnacentral:piRNA from 1 species
UGAGGGCCUUUUUCAUAGUUCAUUCUUGGG